CGCAGCCGCGGUAAUUCCAGCUCCAAUAGCGUAUAUUAAAGUUGUUGCAGUUAAAAAGCUCGUAGUUGAACUUCGGGGUUUACCCAUUGGUCAGGCUUAAUUGUCUGUACUGGUGAGAUAAAUCUCUACCUUCUGAGGAACUUUUAUGCCAUUUAUUUGGUGUGAUGGGAAAUCAGGACUGUUACUUUGAAAAAUUAGAGUGUUUAAAGCAGGCUAACGUCUGAAUACAUUAGCAUGGAAUAAUGAAAUAGGACGGAUUGAUUCUAUUUCGUUGGUUUCUAGGAUCACCGUAAUGAUUAAUAGGGAUAGUUGGGGGCAUUAGUAUUCAAUUGUCAGAGGUGAAAUUCUUGGAUUUAUUGAAGACUAACUACUGCGAAAGCAUUUGCCAAGGAUGUUUUCAUUAAUCAAGAACGAAAGUUAGGGGAUCGAAGACGAUCAGAUACCGUCGUAGUCUUAACCAUAA
rnacentral:rRNA from 1 species